GCAACACAAAAUGUGAUAAGUGCUAUAAGAGAAAUGUCAACAUUUGCCAUCGGAAUACAAACAAGAGCACACAAUGACCUCUCAUAAACUAGCAAAGAAGUUAAAGACAAAGUUAUUCCAGGAAAGAAAACAGAAUGAGACAAUGGCAAAUAUUCUCGGUCACAUGCCCCUUUUGGUAAAAUAUUCACAACAGUAAUGGAUCUACACAACUACCAGCAGGAAGCUAACUGGAUGAUUAAUUAACAACACAUGGAGUCAUUUUUCCACUCCCAGCAAAUAUUUUUCCUAGUGGCAGAAUAUCUGGAUUUCAAAUAUAACAAU